GGCCUCCCAAAGUGCUGGGAUUACAGGCGUGAGCCACUGCACCCGGCCUAAUUUUUCAUAGUUUUUUGUAGAGAUAGGGUUUCGCCGUGUUGCCCAGGCUGGUCUCAAACCCCUGAGCUCAAGUGAUUGGCUUGUCCUCCCAAAGUGCUGAUUAUAGGCGUGAGCCACUGCACCCGGCCAUGUUUUUUCUUUAUGCAUACUUACCCUCUUUAUUUCUUACUGGCUUACCUAAAAUAUGUGAAGAGGCUGCUUGCCAGGAGGUGAGAGAAACUGGAGGAGAGUGGUAAUGCAAUGAGUUUUGGAUUUCUUUUUUUUUUUUUUUUUUUGAGGCCGAGUCUCAAUCUGUCACCCAGGCUGGAAUGCAGUGAGUGGUGCAAUCUUGGGUCACUGCAACUUCUGCCUCCCAGGUUCAAGCGAAUCUUCUGUCUCAGCCUCCCAAGUAGCUGGGAUUACAGAUGUGCACCACCACACCUGGCUAAUUUUUGUAUUUUUAGUAGACACGGGGUUUCGCCAUAUUAACUAGGCUGGUCUCGAACUCCUGACUUCAAGUGAUCUGCUCGCCUUGGCAUCUCAAAGUGCUGGGAUUACAGGUGUUAGCCACUGCACCUGGCCGAGUUUUGUGUUUCAAAUGCCAGACUUGGGACAGCUGAAGACUCCUCAGGUGAUAUGGACUACCAAUAAUACUGAUUGAUGAACAAGGGAGCCAACCCUGAGAACCGUGGGGUCACAAGAGAGUGGACGAUAAGUGGCUUUAAAAGACUCCUACAGAGAAACUGCUGGUUUUCAAGAUAACUCUAAUAAUGCAUGUGGCGGCAAACAAGGAGCUGUUUGACAACACUGACAUCUAUUCCUACAGGCGUAGAAGCCCUUUGUCUACUAUUUGACAAGAAAAUAUAAUAAAAAUCUAACAUAGUUUAUUAGAAGUUGGUCAAAACAUUCAAAAUUACCAACACUGUUUGAAAUACGGAUUUAUAUUAUUGUUACUAUGAGCCUCACCCUAAUUGUUGUGUAUGAAGAGGUUUCAUGAAAUGUCUGUUCUGGUUAUUACAGCCAUGUAUCCACCAAGAUUUGAAAUAAACUGAACUUAGAAGCAGUUCUUGGCCAGGCGCAGUGGGUCAUGCCUGUAAUCCCAGCAGUUUGGGAGGCCGAGGCAGGUGGAUCACCUGAGGUCAGGAGUUCGAGACCAGCCUGGCCAACAUGGUGAAACCCCAUCUCUACUAAAAAUACAAAAAUUAGCUGAGCAUGGUGGCACGCGUCUGUAAUACCAGCAAUUUGGGAGGCAGAGGCAGGAGAAUAGCUUCAACCUGGAGGCAGGGGUUGCAGUGAGCCGAGAUCAUGCCACUGAACUCCAGCCUGGGCAGCAGAGUAAGACUCUGUCUCAAAAACAACAACAACAACAACAACAACAACAACAGUUAUUUACAUCAAGGGUCCCCAAACCCUGUUAGGAAUGGGGCCACACAGCAGGAGGUGAGUGGUGGGCGAGGGAGUAUUACUGCCUGAGCUCCGCCUCCUGUCAGAUCAGCAGUGGCAUUAGAUUCUCAUAGGGGCGUGCACCCUAUUGUGAACUGUGCAUGUGAGGGAUCUUGGUUGCACACUCCUUAUGAGAAUCUAAUGCCUGAUGAUCUGAGGUGGAACAGUUUCAUCCUGAAACCAUCCCCACCCCACCACCAGUCCAUGGAAAAGCUGUCUUCCACGAAAUUGGUCCCUGGUGCCAAAUAGGUUGGGGACCACUGCUUCACAUCACUAUUUCAUAGUGUUGAACCAGACUUUCAAAAUUAGUGAAAUGCAGAACGUACAACCACUGGUCCCCUUCCCAUGAUAGUGGGAAAGACCUGGGUCUAGAGUCUAUAUUUUUGUACUUAUGAGACAUGUUAAAGUAUAGUUUUCAAGAAGGUAACAAUGUGGCUGUCUGGCAAAUAUGCAAUGAAAUGUGUCAAAGAUUUUACUUAGCUCACCGAUUAAUGAGGGAACCAGUAAAGAUGCAGUGACCAGUUCAAAGAGCAUUUGAGAAACAAGAAGAUUUCUAGGACAAGCCAUGAGUGUGAUGGUUAAUUUUAGGUGUCAGUUUGACUGGAUUAAGGAAUAUCUAGAAACUUAGUAAAGCAUUGUUUCUGGGUGUGUCUGUGAGGAUGUUUCCAGAGGAGACUACCAUAUGAGUCUGAGUGGACUAAGUGGGGAAGAUUCCCCUCAAUGUGUGUGGGCACGGUCCAACUUGCUGGGGGCCCAGAGAGAACAAGAACAGAAAGGGAGAAUGUGUCCAUCUGUCUGCCAGAGCUGGGAUGCACUUUUCUUCUUCUGUCCUCGGACAACAAUUCCAGGCUCCCGGGCCUUUGGACUCUAGGACUUACAUCAGCGGCCCCUGGAGUUCUCAGGCCUUUGGCCUCAGAUUGAAGUUAUACCAUCAGUUUCCCUGGUUCCGAGGCUUUCACACUUGGGCUGAACCACACUACUGACAUCCCAAGGUCUCCAGCUCGCAGAUGGCCUGUGAUGGAACUUCUCAGCCUCCAUAAUUGAGAGCCAAUCCCUCUAAUAAAUCCUUUUUCCUAUAUCUAUAUUUAUAUCUAUAUCAUCUAUCUGAUCUAUAUCUAUCAUGUCCCAUUGAUUCUGUCUCUCUGGAGAACCCUAAGAUAGUGAAUUAAAUGUUAAUGUCCAACAAGCCACAAAUCGGGAGUUACAGUCAUGCACUGAAUAACAACAUUUUGAUCAAUGGCAGACUGUAUAUAUGACAGCAGUUCUGUAAGCUUAUAAUGGAGCUAAAACAUUCCUAUUGCCUAGUGACACUGUGGCUAUUCUGACGUCAUAGCAUACUGGAUUACUGGUGUGUUUGUGGUGAUGCUGGUGUAAACAAACCUGCUGUGCUGCCAGUCAUAUAAAAGUAUAGCAGGCACACUUAUGUACAGUCCAUAAUACUUUAUAAUGAUAAUAAAAGACUAUGUUACUGGUUUAUGUACUUACUCUAUUCUUUGUUGUUAUUUUAGAGUAUACUCCUACUUAUUUAAAAAAAAAAAGUUAACUGCAAAAUAGCCUCCGGCAGGUCCUUUAGGAGGUGUUCCAGAAGGCAUUGUUAUCAUAGUAGAUGACAGCUCCAUGCAUGUUAUUGUCCCUGAACCUUCUAGUGGGACAAGACGUAGAGGUGGAAGACAGUGAUAUUGAUGAUCCUGAGUAUAAGUAGGCCUAGACUAAUGUGUGUGUUUGCAUCUUAGUUUUGAACAAAAAAAGUUUAAAAAAUAAAAAAAGCUUAUAGAUUAAGGAUAUAAAGAAAGGAAAUAUUUUUGUAUCACUGUACAAUGUGUUUGUGGGUUUUUUUUUUUUUUUUUUUUGAGACAGAGUCUUGCUCUAUCGCCCAAGCUGGAGUACAGAGGCAUGAUCUCGGCUCACUGCAACCUCCACCUCCUGGGUUCAAGCAAUUCUCCUGCCUCAGCCUCCUGAGUAGCUGGGAUUACAUGUGUGUGCCACCACACCCUGCUAAUUUUUGUAUUUUUAGUAGAGACGGGUUUCACUAUGCUGGCCAGGCUGAUCUCGAACUCCUGACUUUGUGAUCUGCCCACCUCGGCCUUCCAGAGUGCUGGGAUUACAGGUGUGAGCCACUGCACCCGGCCAAUGUGUUUGUGUUUUAAGCUAAGUGUUAUUACAAAAGAGUCAAAAGUUUUUAAAAAUUUUAAAGUUUAAAAAGUAAAAAAGCUACAGUAAGCUAAGAUUUAUUAUUUAAGAAAAUGUUUUCCAGUCUGGGCAACAUAGUGAGACCCCAUCUCUACAAAAAUUACAAAAAGUUAGCUGUGUGUGUUGGCUGAUGUCGGUGGUCCCCGCUACUUGGGAGGCUGAGGCAAGAGGAUUGCUUGAGCCCAGGAAGUCGAGGCUGCAGUAAGCCAUGAUCACACUACUGCACUCCAGCCUGGGAGACAGAGUGAGACCUCACAAAAAAUUAAAAAAUGUUUAAAAAUAAAUGCCCCACCUGAGCAACAUGGUGAAACCUCGUCUCUACAAAAAAUUUAAAAACUACCCGGGCAUGGUGGCGGGUGCCUGUGGUCCCAGCUAUUUGGGAGGCUGAGGUGGGAGGAUCUCUUGAGCCUAGGGAGGUCAAGGCUGCAGUGAGCUGUGAUCGCACCACUGCACUCCAGCCAGGUGAGAGAGCUAGGCCCUGUCUCAAAAAUAAAAUAAAAUAAUCCAUCCAUAAAUAAAUAAUAAAUGUAGCAUAGCCUAAGUGUCCAGUGGUUAUAAUCUACAGUAGUGCACCGUAAUGUUGCAGGCUUUCACAUUCAAUCACCACUCAGUGACUCACCCAGGCAACCUCCAGUGCUGCAAGCUCCAUUCAUAGUAAGUGCCUGAUAAACUACAGGGCACUUUUGGGCAGUUGACUUUAAAGUAAAUAGGCUUCUAAAUUAACAGCCUGAGGGAGGGCUUGUGAUUCAUGCAAACAUCUUGUCCCUGAGUAACGAAUCUUAUUGUGAGUUCCUCAAAUUGUCAAGUACUGAUUAAUGCACAACCUCCUGACACUGAAGAGGACUCUGACUCACUUUUGAAUCAAAUGUCGAUAUUUUAGCCUUUAUAUUGCAGUCUGUAGCCAAUGAUUGUAACCUCUGUGUUGUACCUCCAGUGAAAAGGAUGGUUGUGCUGUCAGGAGUCCUCCCUUCUUCUAAACUUUCCCAUAAAAGCCUUCCAACUUGUAGCAGACUCCAGAACACUCCCAACUUUGUUAGCGUGUCUUCCCAGGUCAACCAUACAUAUAGCCUAGGUGUAUGGUAGGCUAGACCACCUAGAUUUGUGUAAGUGUGGCAGGCCAAUUCUCCCUGACAAUCACACAGACAGGCCUGCAUAGCACUCCAGUUACACAGAUUUCCACAGAGCUGCCUUAACAUUGAGCAAAUAGUUAAACCUAGCAAAAUCGGCACCCAGACAGCAAAGCUAGAAAUGAAACGUAUGGUCAGUAGGAGCCUUGCGUGGGCUUCUCCCUAACCUGGAGCAAACCAAAAUAAUACAGUCUUUCAUUCCUAGUGCAGGACCCAUCUCGGGUCAACGAAAUCUGAGACAGUCAAGGUAACAGAGCUGUUUGAGUAAAUUCAUUGGAGAGUCUAAGGCAGCACUCCAGACCAAGCUGUAAAGGAGAUAAGAUAGAAAUAAUCACUCUGGUACCACAGUACACAGGCCUUGAAGGUACUGAGGCCCUUUUAAUCAGACUUAGUAAGCAUUAGUUUGCCUCUGACCUUCUAGUUGAAACAAAAUUAGUUACCAAUAGACUUAGGUGAAUGCUAUACUGCAUGUGGGCAUAUAACCCCAACCUAUAUAAUCAUGAAGAAAAUUGUAACACUUUGAGUUGGUCUUGUGGAAUUAUCUCCAGCCUGCUCCCUGUAACUGGUUACAGCAAUAAAUUCUCUUCUUUCCUAGUUUUUCUGCUUCUUGUUAUUGGGCCCUGAGAAAACGUAGCUGGACCCGGCUUGGUUCCGUGAACAUAAGUACACUCUGUGAUGUUCACACCAUUUGGCUUCCAAUAAACCGUUUUUUGUUGUUGUUGUUGUUUUUUGGAGACAGAUUCUUGCUCUGUUCCCAGUCUGGAGUGCAGUGGCACGAUUUCAGCUCACAGCAACCUCUGCCUCCCAGGCUCAAGUGAUUUCUCGAGCCUCAGCCUCCUGAGUAGCUGGGAUUAUAGACACGCACCACCACGCCCAGCCAAUUUUUUUUUUUUUUUUUGAGAUGGUGUCUCACAUCUGUCGCACAUGCUGGAGUGCAGUGGCACCAUCUCGGCUCCUUGCAACCUCCACCUCCCGGGUUCAAGAGAUUCUCCUUCCUUAGCCUCCCGAGUAGUUGUGAUUAUACGCUGUGCCACCAUGCCCAGCUAAUUUUUGUAUUUUUAGUAGAGACAGGUUUCGCCAUCUUGCCCAGGCUGGUCCCGAACUCCUGACCUUGUGAUCUGCCUGCCCCGGCCUCCCAAAGUGCUGGGGUUACAGGUGUGAGCCACCGCGCCUGGCCAAUUUUUGUAUUUUUAAAAGAGACAGGUUUUGCCAUUUGGCUAGGCUGGUCUUGAACUCCUGACCUCAAGUGAUCUGCCCACCUCUGCCUCUCAAAAUGCUGAGAUUACAGGUGUGAGCCACCAUACUUGGCCCCAAUAAACCUUUAUCAAAUUAUUUGUGCCCCAACAGCCUUAAUUUUGGUAAACAUGUCCUAUACAGGUGUACCAUUUUUUAUCUUUUAUACCAUAUUUUUACCGUACCUACUUAUGUUUAGAUACACAAUUACUUACCAUUGUGCUACAAUUGCCUACAGUAUUUAGCAUACUAACACACUGUACAGGUUUGUAACCUAGGAGCAAUUUGCUAUUCCAUAUAUAGUAGGCUGUAUCAUCUAGGUUUGUGUAAGCACACUCUAUAAGGUUUGCACGAGGACAAAAUCACCUCACGCAUUUCUCCCUGCUGUUAAGCAAUGUGUGACCUGUAUCUGUCCCACCAACAGAAGUUAUUUGCAUUUCUUCCUGACAAAAAUCUUCAAGUUAACAAGUAAUUUCACGAAUUCUGGGACCCUUAAUCAAUAGUAAAUAAUGGGAUAAACUUUACGUUACUAUGAUCCUCUGGCUGAAUCCAGCCCACAUAUUUUGUAAAUAAAGUUUUGUUGGAGCCCAGCCUAUUUCUUCCUUUGCUUAUUGUCCAUGACUGCUUUUGUGCCACAAUGGCAGUCCUGAGUACACACAGCAGAGAUUCUAAAGUCCACAGAUUUAGACUUGAGUUCUCAACACAGAAAUCCUAAAGCUCACAGUAGAGACAGGGUUUCUACCUGACUCAGAGCCUGAGAAAUUUACUAUGACUUAGAGCCUGAGAAAUUUACUAUGUGAACCUUUACAUGCUGGGGAAAGCCUGAGGGUCAUGACCAACUCAGCACUCCACUGGAGGCUAUAUGAUAAAAGAGCAAACUGUUUAUCACGAAUGCAGGAUGUGGGGAAACUCACAUCUGCACCUGCCACCAGAAGGUAUGCUGAGGGCAAUCACUCCCUGGCGCCGUGCUCCUUGAGGUUAUCUACUGGAACAUCUGGAGCCUACUGUUCAAAGAAAGCAGUUAUGCAGGCCUGCACUAAGUGAAACAGCUGACUGACAACCACCCCCUCCUCAUUAUUUCCUUUACUCAAUAAAUACAAAGGGCUAUAGAAGCUCAGAGCCCUUGUUCACUAGAAGCAAGGAGACCCCUGACCCCUUCUUCCAAAUAUACUUGUUUGUCUUUGUCUUUAUUCCCGCAUUCGUCCUCCUUUGUUCAGUCCACCAGGGUCCGUGGCACAGUGGAGCCUGAGGGUUGUGACCAACUUUUACAAAUAAAGUUCGUUGGCCCUCACUCUAGACAACCCUAUGAUGAUCUUUGCCACUGCAUGAAAGUGAAAUUGUCAGAAGCAUGUGAACCAGAGCAACUCCAUCUUGAAUAGGGGCUGGGUAAAAUGAGGCUGAGACCUACUGAGCUGCAUUCCCAGAUGGUUAAGGCAUUCUAAGUCACAGGAUGAGGUAGGAGGUUGGCACAAAAUACAGGUCUUAAAGACCUUGCUGAUAAAACAGACUGCAGUAAAGAUGCCAGCUAAAACCCAACAAAACCAAGAUGGCAACAAGAGUGUCCUCUGAUUGUCCUCUCUGCUACACUCCGUCCAGUGCCAUGACAGUUUACAAAUGCCAUGGCAACGUCAGGAAGUUACCCUAUGUGGUCUAAAAAGGGGAAACAUGAAUAAUCCACCCCUUGUUUAGCAUAUCAUCAAUAAAUAACUAUAAAAAUGGGCAACCAGCAGCCCUCGGGGCUGCUCCGUUCAUGAAGUAGCCAUUCUUUUAUUCCUUUACUUUCCUAAUAAACUUGCUUUCACCGUACUCUACUGACUUGCCCUGAAUUCUUUCUUAUGCAAGAUCCAAGAACCCUCUCUUGGGAUCUGGAUCAGGACUCCUUUCCUGUAACAAAAGGAUGUGCUAUUUAGCUUUUUGCCUUAUUUCCAAGUUUUGCAUACUUUUUCUGACCAACACUUGAGAACCUUUAAUAUAUAGUUUUUCUGUUUCCAUUGUCUUCAGUUCCAAUUGUCUUUUGGUUCCAAUUCU
rnacentral:lncRNA from 10 species